UGCACAAUAUUCGUUGCUAGAGGUUCCAAAAAACAUUGCUUCACACUUUCUUAUUGAUAUGCAGUUAUACUAAGCACGGCCAAACGCUAAUGAGGGUUGAUGACAGUUGCAAUCCUCUCUCGCAUUUGACUGCAAACUGCCAUCGAGUCUCGUGUACUCACAUCAACUUUGAGCUGGUUCAAAUUUGAAUGAGAGUUUUUGUUUGUUCGAUGGGUAAAAUCUAGCCAACUUUCGUCAACCCCCAGGCUACCUUGCUUCUGUUUGACCGGCACCAUAAGAGUUGACAUGGCCAUGGGAGUUGAGAAAACUCUCGUGCAAACUCUCGCUUCUCA